UGCCAUCAGCUCCAUAUCGAGCAAGGGCAUCUGGAAGCUCAUUGGGGAUGGAAACUGCUCCCUUUCACCACCCCUGCUGGCCCUCUGUGGGCAGAGAGAUGCCCUGUGACUGCUCCUGUCUGAUCACAUUCUCCACUCUCCUCACCCUGAAGCUAACAUCUCUGCACUGGCUGGAAAAAAUUGAAUUCCUUUCCCAACACAUCAAUAAGUGUCCUCAGACAGAGGUGGUUGAAAAG